AUUAAGCCACACAGCAAGCCCACAUCAAGCCCAAGACUAUGUUAUUGGAGAAGUCCAUGUAACUAGGGUUCUAGCAUUUAGAUUUAUAUAAAUAGUAGUUUAAGGUUUUGUAAAACUCAACUUUGGCUGCGCUUUCUAGCAGCCUCUCUUCUCAUCUUUAUUAAGCAUCAAUAUAACUCUUGAAUCUCUUGCAGACAACCCAAAGUCUUUCCCCUUCUGUUCUUUGUAUUUCAAUAAAGCUCAUUGAGCUAUCUUAGUUUAUGUUUCAAUAAAACACAACUCUAUCUAGUUCUCAAAUGUUAUCAUGGUAUCAGAGCACCAGGGAUUAGAUCUUGGUGUCUCUACGCUUCAUCUCAACUUCUCACAAGCUCCAUCAGUCAUCUCUUUUUCCUUUGAAAAAAAAAAAAAAAAAAAAAAGAGAGAAGAACCAGCGACCAAGACAGAUCCUAUUAACACUGUCCUGACCAACCCAGACUUGCGUUUUAUUUGAAGAAGCAGGCUUGCCAAGUUGUCUCCUUCCUGUCGGCUAGCACAAAAGCAGGGGAACAAGUUGGAGAUCCCAAUGAAGAAGAAGAAGAGUUAAAAGGUGGAAGCUUUAAUCAAGUGACAGCUUCAAAACUGCAAAGCUUGUGGAGUUGGUGCUAUAAAUGACGGUUUCAGAACGGACAUAGAAGAAGGCUUUGUGAAGACUCAGCUUCCUAACCAUGGUAUUGUCUCUGUUUCUUUCUUUUGAGACAGAACAAAGGAUGAAAAAAAAAAAUAUUUGUGUUGGAUUGAGUUGCUGGUUAGCUUAGAUUUUUGGGUUCAGAUAGGUUUGGAACAGAAGCUAUAAUGAAAUAGGCUGGUUUGGGUUUGUUGCGUGUGGAAUCUCUGGCUUUAAUUCUACUGCACACAAGGUGCUCGCGGAAAUGCCAACGAGAAAGUCAGAUUGUUUGGAGACAGUUUUGGUGGUAUAUUAAUAGGAAUCAGAGAGUUAGUAGGAUGGUUUAGUAAGUGUGGAAAGAGAGUUUUGAUUCUUCAUUAGACAUAGUAAGAAAUAGGUAAAGAAAGCCUAGAUUCAUAGUGAGGCAAAAAGGUCACAAUUGUACCUCUGAGUGAGAUCAACUAAGCUCUCCAAGUUCAAGAGAAACCUCUGAGUGAAGCCAUGUGAUACUCUCCAAGUAUAGGCCUGAAUAGAUCUCACACUUAGUUUCUUUUCCAUGAAGAAGAAGAACCAUUUGCCUGCAUCAAAAGCCUCCUACUUCAACUACUCAUGCUCUCACAGCUCAUACUCGUUUACAGUUCAAACUCAGCUUCUUGGUUUCCACCCGAAGCUAUGUUUGCGGGGGAGUAUUAAGCCACACAGCAAGCCCACAUCAAGCCCAAGACUAUGUUAUUGGAGAAGUCCAUGUAACUAGGGUUCUAGCAUUUAGAUUUAUAUAAAUAGUAGUUUAAGGUUUUGUAAAACUCAACUUUGGCUGCGCUUUCUAGCAGCCUCUCUUCUCAUCUUUAUUAAGCAUCAAUAUAACUCUUGAAUCUCUUGCAGACAACCCAAAGUCUUUCCCCUUCUGUUCUUUGUAUUUCAAUAAAGCUCAUUGAGCUAUCUUAGUUUAUGUUUCAAUAAAACACAACUCUAUCUAGUUCUCAAAUGUUAUCAGAAGUUCCUGAUUUGAAGCAGUGGUUGUUGGCGAAAGGUUGAGUUCAAGGAUUACAAAUCACAGAGAAUAUAGUGUUGAGGAUGAGGAAGGAAUUAGCUUUGGCGUCUGACUGAUUGGAGUCACCGGAGGUGAAGGUUGGAGUUACCGGAGGUGAAGAUCGGUGGAGCCAACGAAACUGAAGUGUCAAGUUGCAUGUUUCUCAAUCGACACGUGUUUCCAUUAUUCUCUGUGGAGUUUCCACAUUUUGCUUAUGUAAUAUUUUAAUAAGUGGUGUACUCUUCUGUAUCCUUGUUUCGUGGGAAUAAAAUAUGGUUGACAAAAAAA
rnacentral:lncRNA from 1 species